GAAGUGCGACAAGUGUCAUGACUUGCAGAUUCCGGAGAGCUGACAAAUUUCUGAAUGCAAAUGGCGGCCGUGUCGAACCGGCCAUGUGUUGCAGAGUGUAGUUGUUCCUACUCAUCAUCCCUUCUCCUUUCACACGAGAGGAGAAAGAUCGGGAUCUGCGCUUGCGAUCAUACACGCGAGCGUGAAAUCACGAGCGUCCUUCUUCUUCAUCUCGAAGAAGAAGGCGACUUCGAUUCGAAUAUCCAUAAAAGGGUUUCGGCUCUUCUAUGGACUUUCUGUCUAUGAAGUUUGAAAAGAAUACGCUCCACUUUUUAAGCAGCCACCUCUGCAAUACAGGAGAACCCGCUGAACUUAA
rnacentral:misc_RNA from 1 species